GGGGAUAUAGCUCAGUUGGUAUAGUGCUUGCUUAGCAUUCAAAAGGCCCUGGGUUCAAUGCCCAGCACCACCA
rnacentral:tRNA from 1 species